rnacentral:lncRNA from 1 species
GCAAAGAUGAAUACAGUUUAAUGUGAGUAUAAAUAACUUUCGAAUGAAAUUUUGUAACAGUACUGAAACCUGAUCUUUUUAACUCGAUUUGCAGGCAGAUAAACGGCAAGGAAGAGAUGAUCUUAUGAGUCCGAUGCCUGCAAAGAUGAAUACAGUUUAAUGUGAGUAUAAAUAAUUUUCGAAUGAAAUUUUAUAACAGUACUGAAUCCUGAUCUUUUUAACUCGAUUUGCAGGCAGUUAGAUGCACGAAUUAUCUCGCGUUUGUACCCUCCAUGUGGAGUAAUGUAAGCAGUUUAUUCUUCUGCAAACAUGAACAAUCUAACCGAUGCUUCAAGGUGCCCUUUCAUAGACUUAAAAAUAGAUUGCCAGGACCUCUGGUAUACUCUCCGAAGCUUUCGUUUUUUUUUUAUAUAUGUAAUUGGUAUAUUCUUUUUCUCGAGGGUUCGGAACAAUAAGUCUAACAUGUCAUUGUUUACAUGUAUAAUACUUCGAUAAAUUAAGCUCACUUUUGACUAUAAAUUUUGAGAUUGAAAAUUGAAUUCUUGAAGUUGUAUCUGG